UACGUAGGGUGCAAGCGUUUAAUCGGAAUUACUGGGCGUAAAGCGUGCGCAGGCGGCUUUGCAAGACAGAUGUGAAAUCCCCGGGCUCAACCUGGGAACUGCAUUUGUGACUGCAUGGCUAGAGUACGGUAGAGGGGGAUGGAAUUCCACGUGUAGCAGUGAAAUGCGUAGAGAUGUGGAGGAACACCGAUGGCGAAGGCAGCCCCCUGGGUCAAGAUUGACGCUCAUGCACGAAAGCGUGGGUAGCAAACAGG
rnacentral:rRNA from 1 species